GACGAACGCUGGCGGCGUGCUUAACACAUGCAAGUCGAACGGAAAGGCCCUGCUUUUGUGGGGUGCUCGAGUGGCGAACGGGUGAGUAACACGUGAGUAACCUGCCCUUGACUUUGGGAUAACUUCAGGAAACUGGGGCUAAUACCGGAUAGGAGCUCCUGCUGCAUGGUGGGGGUUGGAAAGUUUCGGCGGUUGGGGAUGGACUCGCGGCUUAUCAUCUUGUUGGUGGGGUAUUGGCUUACCAAGGCUUAGACGGAUAGCCGGCCUGAGAGGGUGACCGGGCACAAUACGACUAAGAGACGGCGCAGACUCGUACGGGAGGCAGCAGUGGGGAGUAUGACACAGUGAGCGGAAGCGUGAUGCGGAGACGCCGCGUGCGGAAUGACGGCUUUCGGGUUGUGAACAGCUUUCGCCUGAGACGAAGCGUGAGUGACGGUAAUGGAUAAAGAAGCACCGGCUAACUACGUG
rnacentral:rRNA from 1 species